GACGGGGGGGGCAAGUGUUCUUCGGAAUUACUGGGCGUAAAGGGCGCGUAGGCGGACAGUUUAGUCAGAGGUGAAAGCCCAGGGCUCAACCUUGGAAUAGCCUUUGAUACUGGCUGUCUUGAGUUCGGGAGAGGUGAGUGGAAUGCCGAGUGUAGAGGUGAAAUUCGUAGAUAUUCGGCGGAACACCAGUGGCGAAGGCGACUCACUGGCCCGAUACUGACGCUGAGGCGCGAAAGCGUGGGGAGCAAACAGG
rnacentral:rRNA from 1 species